AGAAUAUUAGGUAUUAAUUAUUCACUUCCUUUUUUUCUCCCUCCCCCCCCCCCGGCCGCCGCCCUUUUUUUUUUUUUCUUUCUCAAAUAUGUAAUCCUUUGUACAGGGUUGUUUUACAAACAAUAAAAUGUAUUCAUUCUCGUAAAUCUUUUCUUAUGACUGUGAAUGAAACGUGUAGUUAUGUCUUUGUAUCCGAUAAAAUCAAAAUCAUAAGCUUUCAAGAAUAUCUUGAUGACAACUUACGUAUUACAGUAAGAUGGAUUUCCUUGGCCAAAUCGUGAUAGUUUCU
rnacentral:lncRNA from 1 species